GUCGACAAAGAGGGCAUUUCGCUUUGGGGCUUGCUGCCUUUAAACCAUCGACUAUCGUUACCGAUGCAGCAGAACAACAACACAUGUAGCAGAACAGAUGGCCACAGGUGAGAGCAACGGGGUCGAAGACGGUGUCCUGUAAAAUCAUCAUAAGAAGUUUUGGUAGGAAAUGACUGACCGCAUCAGUUCAAGAAUAUAUUUGUGAAUGCUGCAAAAGAACAAUGUCUCUGAAGAGAGAGUAGCAACAGACUCACCAAGCAGAUGGAACAAGUCAAAUCGAUUUCAACCUUCAUAGAAUCAAAGAGGCCGCAGGAAAGUGCCGGUUUGCCAUCAUCGUCGAAUGUGAGCGAGCAGUCACCGAAUAGCCGGACGAUGGCUUUGUUCUUGGUUUUUCCCUGCCUCAUAUUAACGUAGAAGGCCAUCAGCUCACAGAGCCAUGGAGAUUGAAGGAUCUCGAUGUGCAUAC
rnacentral:lncRNA from 1 species